UCGCCCGCCGCGCGCGGCGGGCGGGGCGGGGGCACGGGGGGCCUACGGGAGGCAGCAGUGAGGAAUAUUGGUCAAUGGGCGCAAGCCUGAACCAGCCAUCCCGCGUGCAGGAAGACGGCCCUAUGGGUUGUAAACUGCUUUUCCAGGGAAAGAAAUUUGCGUACGCGUUGCGCAAUUGACGGUACCCUGGGAAUAAGCAUCGGCUAACUCCGUGCCAGCAGCCGCGGUAAUA
rnacentral:rRNA from 1 species